GGGAGGUUUAGGUUGGAUAUGAGGAGGAAGUUUUUCCCCCAGAGGGUGGUGACGCACUGAACAGGUUGCCCAAGGAGGCUGUGGAUGCCCCAUCCCUGCAGGCAUUCAAGGCCAGGCUGGAUGUGGCUCUGGGCAGCCUGGUCUGCUGGUUGGCGACCCUGCACAUAGCAGGGGGUUGGAACUGGAUGAGCACUGUGCUCCUUCUCAACCCAGGCC
rnacentral:lncRNA from 1 species